rnacentral:rRNA from 1 species
GACGAACGCUGGCGGCGUGCCUAACACAUGCAAGUCGAGCGGAGUCGAUCGACGGAAGCCUUCGGGCGGAAGAUGGUUGACUUAGCGGCGGAUGGGUGAGUAACGCGUGGGCAACCUGCCUCGAAGACCGGGAUAACAGCCCGAAAGGGCUGCUAAUACCGGAUGUGGUCAAGGAUCCGCAUGGAUUUUUGAUUAAAGGGGAAACCCGUUUCGAGAUGGGCCCGCGUCCUAUCAGCUAGUUGGUGAGGUAAAAGCUCACCAAGGCGACGACGGGUAGCCGGCCUGAGAGGGUGACCGGCCACACUGGAACUGAGACACGGUCCAGACUCCUACGGGGGCAGCAGUGGGGAAUCUUAGACAAUGGGGGAAACCCUGAUCUAGCCAUGCCGCGUGAUCGAUGAAGGCCUUAGGGUUGUAAAGAUCUUUCAGAUGGGAAGAUAAUGACGGUACCAUCAGAAGAAGCCCCGGCUAACUCCGUG